rnacentral:lncRNA from 1 species
UCGGACCAUCCUAGGUUAGUUCUGAAACCCUUCUUUUUCUUGUUGUUCUUCCGUUUUUCCUCCUCUGCAUUCCACCCGUUCGGUUUCUCCGCGAGCACCUUGUUUUCAAUUUUUCUCAAUUUUUUUUGAGAUUUUUUGGGGUUUUCAUUUGAUUCAAAAUAUCCUCCAACACUUCCUCCUCUAGCAGUUCUAGAAGUUCGUCAGCUCCAGCCUCCCAAAAUCCUAGUACUGUAGAUGAACCCGCA